rnacentral:rRNA from 1 species
UACGUAGGGUGCAAGCGUUGUCCGGAAUUAUUGGGCGGAAAGAGCUCGUAGGCGGUUUGUCGCGUCUGCUGUGAAAGCUCGGGGCUUAACCCCGGGCCUGCAGUGGGUACGGGCAGACUAGAGUGCGGUAGGGGAGACUGGAAUUCCUGGUGUAGCGGUGAAAUGCGCAGAUAUCAGGAGGAACACCGGUGGCGAAGGCGGGUCUCUGGGCCGUAACUGACGCUGAGGAGCGAAAGCGUGGGGAGCGAACAGG